UACGUAGGGGGCUAGCGUUGUCCGGAAUCAUUGGGCGUAAAGCGCGCGUAGGCGGCCCGGUAAGUCCGCUGUGAAAGUCAAAGGCUCAACCUUUGAAUGUCAGCGGAUACUGCCGCGCUAGAGUCCGGAAGAGGCGAGUGGAACUCCUGGUGUAGCGGUGGAAUGCGCAGAUAUCAGGAAGAACACCCGUGGCUAAGGCGGCUCUCUAGUACGGUACUGACGCUGAGACGCGAAAGCGUGGGGAGCGAACAGG
rnacentral:rRNA from 1 species